UACGUAGGGCGCAAGCGUUAUCCGGAAUUAUUGGGCGUAAAGAGCUCGUAGGCGGUUUGUCGCGUCUGCCGUGAAAGUCCGGGGCUCAACUCCGGAUCUGCGGUGGGUACGGGCAGACUAGAGUGAUGUAGGGGAGACUGGAAUUCCUGGUGUAGCGGUGAAAUGCGCAGAUAUCAGGAGGAACACCGAUGGCGAAGGCAGGUCUCUGGGCAUUAACUGACGGCUGAGGAGCGAAAGCAUGGGGAGCGAACAGG
rnacentral:rRNA from 1 species